GAUGAAGAACGUAGCGAAAUGCGAUAAGUAGUGUGAAUUGCAGAAUUCAGUGAAUCAUCGAAUCUUUGAAUGCACAUUGCGCCCUUUGGUAUUCCUUAGGGCAUGCCUGUUCGAGCGUCAUUUAAACCUUCAAGCUAAGCUUGGUGUUGGGUGACUGUCCGCUUCACGGCGGACUCGCCUCAAAAUUAUUGGCGGCCGGUACAUUGGCUUCGAGCGCAGCAGAAACGCGAACUCGGGCCCGUCGUAUUGGCUCCCAGAAGCUAUCUUCACAAUUUUGACCUCGGAUCAGGUAGGGAUACCCGCUGAACUUAAGCAUAUCAAUAAGCGGAGGA
rnacentral:misc_RNA from 1 species